rnacentral:rRNA from 1 species
AAUGCCUAGGAAUCUGCCUGGUAGUGGGGGAUAACGUUCGGAAACGGACGCUAAUACCGCAUACGUCCUACGGGAGAAAGCAGGGGACCUUCGGGCCUUGCGCUAUCAGGUGAGCCUGGGUCGGAUUAGCUAGUUGGUGAGGUAAUGGCUCACCAAGGCGACGAUCCGUAACUGGUCUGAGAGGAUGAUCAGUCACACUGGAACUGAGACACGGUCCAGACUCCUACGGGAGGCAGCAGUGGGGAAUAUUGGACAAUGGGCGAAAGCCUGAUCCAGCCAUGCCGCGUGUGUGAAGAAGGUCUUCGGAUUGUAAAGCACUUUAAGUUGGGAGGAAGGGUUGUAGAUUAAUACUCUGCAAUUUUGACGUUACCGACAGAAUAAGCACCGGCUAACUCUGUGCCAGCAGCCGCGGUAAUACAGAGGGUGCAAGCGUUAAUCGGAAUUACUGGGCGUAAAGCGCGCGUAGGUGGUUUGUUAAGUUGGAUGUGAAAUCCCCGGGCUCAACCUGGGAACUGCAUUCAAAACUGACUGACUAGAGUAUGGUAGAGGGUGGUGGAAUUUCCUGUGUAGCGGUGAAAUGCGUAGAUAUAGGAAGG